rnacentral:rRNA from 1 species
CAGUAGCCACGGGAAUACGUAGGUGGCAAGCGUUGUCCGGAUUUAUUGGGCGUAAAGCGAGCGUAGGCGGUUUCUUAAGUCUGAUGUGAAAGCCCCCGGCUCAACCGGGGAGGGUCAUUGGAAACUGGGAAACUUGAGUGCAGAAGAGGAGAGUGGAAUUCCAUGUGUAGCGGUGAAAUGCGUAGAUAUAUGGAGGAACACCAGUGGCGAAGGCGGCUCUCUGGUCUGUAACUGACGCUGAGGCUCGAAAGCGUGGGGAGCAAACAGGAUUAGAUACCCCAGUAGUCCCUGUCUCUUAUAC